CCCGUAAUACGUCAGUGGCAUCUUAUGCAGAGCGACUGUAGUCGCCCGUAGUAUGUCAGUGACAUUUUACGGAAAGCGACUGUAGUCGCCCGUAGUAGCGAAAGGGUUAAAACUUCCCGAAUAGUCUGUCUUGGGUGGAUACGGGCAAUGGUCUAAGAAGAUAGUGGAAAACUGACACUCGAAGUCGUUACUCGAGUGUUGUUCUAUCUGUGUACCAAUUUCUCUACCAAUCUAUCGUAUUACGGAGGAAAGAAUCAAACAAAAUGAAAACGCAUUCUAUUGGAUAUGACAUAAUUAUAUUACUUUCGAAAAUAAGUUGUCGAUCAAACGCAUUGAUAUGAAGUUAAAUAAAGAUAUUAAAGUUUCUCAAAUGUAAAA